rnacentral:rRNA from 2 species
UUUAAUUUGAGAGUUUGAUCCUGGCUCAGGAUGAACGCUGGCGGCGUGCCUAACACAUGCAAGUCGAACGAAGCAUUUCAGAUGAAGUUUUCGGAUGGAUUCUGAGAUGACUGAGUGGCGGACGGGUGAGUAACACGUGGAUAACCUGCCUCACACUGGGGGACAACAGUUAGAAAUGACUGCUAAUACCGCAUAAGCGCACAGUACCGCAUGGUACAGUGUGAAAAACUCCGGUGGUGUGAGAUGGAUCCGCGUCUGAUUAGCCAGUUGGCGGGGUAAUGGCCCACCAAAGCGACGAUCAGUAGCCGACCUGAGAGGGUGACCGGCCACAUUGGGACUGAGACACGGCCCAAACUCCUACGGGAGGCAGCAGUGGGGAAUAUUGCACAAUGGGCGAAAGCCUGAUGCAGCGACGCCGCGUGAGUGAAGAAGUAUUUCGGUAUGUAAAGCUCUAUCAGCAGGGAAGAUAAUGACGGUACCUGACUAAGAAGCCCCGGCUAACUACGUGCCAGCAGCCGCGGUAAUACGUAGGGGGCAAGCGUUAUCCGGAUUUACUGGGUGUAAAGGGAGCGUA